GGCAAGAUUACUCGGGGUGAG
rnacentral:miRNA from 1 species